CAGCCGCCGCGGGAAUACGUAGGUGGCAAGCGUUGUCCGGAAUUAUUGGGCGUAAAGGGCUCGCAGGCGGUUUCUUAAGUCUGAUGUGAAAGCCCCCGGCUCAACCGGGGAGGGUCAUUGGAAACUGGGAAACUUGAGUGCAGAAGAGGAGAGUGGAAUUCCACGUGUAGCGGUGAAAUGCGUAGAGAUGUGGAGGAACACCGGUGGCGAAAGCGGCUCUCUGGUCUGUCACUGACGCUGAGGCUCGAAAGCGUGGGUAGCGAACAGGAUUAGAUACCCCAGUAGUCCCUGUCUCUUAUAU
rnacentral:rRNA from 1 species